GCUUCUGUAGUGUAGACCGGUCAAUUUAAACCUAAUUUUAAAAGUAGAUCUGAGAUCAAGCAUACGAGGCUCUCACCCUCGGAACCCGGGUUCAAAUCCCGGCAGAAGCA
rnacentral:tRNA from 1 species